GUCCAAGACCAAGAGAUGCCUGAUUGUAACAUCUUUGAAUGUCUGUCCUGACCACAGGUUACAUGUGCAUAGAUGCUAAGGAGAAUAAGAACUAUGAAAAAAGGGAAUGCCAAUAUUCAUGGUGUGUGGAAGUACAGGAUUGUCAGGAGAAGCACCCAGGCAGAAAGGGAAGAACAAUAGCCCAGCCUCUCUGCAAACACCCAGGACUCCUGAUUUGAAUGUCACUCCAAGUCCUUUUGAGAUGGCUGAACUGGUUUAACCUGUCUCAGAAAGCACAGGAGAACCAAGGACUUAGGCUGGAUUGAGAGUAGCAGCAAGCACAGGUGCUGCUGGAGGACCAUCUGCAGCAAGGAUGAGGAAAGUCAGAGAAAAAAUUCUUGUGACUUGAAAAUUCCCUCAUCUGAGCACAUUUUCAGGAUGGCUGAGAUCUCUAAUAGUUGCUAGUAUCUACUAAAUCUUCACUCUACUUGGGGAUGAUUGAGCAGUGUCGAGAGAGAGUCCAUCAGAAACAGCAACAUCACCUUCCCUUCAAUUUGAUGGUGGAAUUUUAUCAAGAGGCUCCCAGGAGUCCUGAACCAGUUUUCCUGCAUCUUCCUCAUUAAUUUUCCAACUUAUCAUUAAACUCUUUGGGCCAAA